UGAGUGAUGUGGGAGCAUUCCCAACACUCUCUGUUGUUGUUCUAUUAUUUUAUUAAUGAAGCUUUAAAAUUCAGUUAUAUGGUGUGUUUUCUUUAUCUUCCCCCAACGAUCCUGCAGUGUCAGCCUGAUCACCUGACAUGAGGGAUAGAUUGGUAACAGAAAUUUUUAACUGGAAAAAAAAUAUCAAGCUCAGGCUAUAGAUAGGACACUGACUCCACUCAAGGACACUGCUCACAGUUAAGACUUGGCUAACAAUCAGGAAAAGGAGGGCUUGAAUUUUCCCACGCAGCUAUAAGGUUUGCAAAACACUGCCAGGCACUAAUGAAAUGUGUUAGGUUUCUUUUCUCACAGGCAAAGAAGCGCUACCCAAAGAUCCUAGCAGCCCUGCCACUCCUUGGAAUCAGGAAACUGGACUGAUGUAAAGGUCCACCAACAAAAGACUGCUUUGGCUCCAUGCUGGAAAGGCCCUUAUUAAGUCCUGCUGACUACCAACACCGCUAUGAAGUGCCAAAGACUGACUGCUUGGACCCAAGAUUCUCACUGCAAAAAGACCCCUCCACCUCG